CAGCAGCCGCGGGAAUACGUAGGGUGCAAGCGUUAAUCGGAAUUACUGGGCGUAAAGCGUGCGCAGGCGGUUAUAUAAGACAGAUGUGAAAUCCCCGGGCUCAACCUGGGAGCUGCAUUUGUGACUGUAUAGCUAGAGUACGGCAGAGGGGGAUGGAAUUCCGCGUGUAGCAGUGAAAUGCGUAGAUAUGCGGAGGAACACCGAUGGCGAAGGCAAUCCCCUGGGCCUGUACUGACGCUCAUGCACGAAAGCGUGGGGAGCAAACAGGAUUAGAUACCCCCGUAGUCCCUGUCUCUUAUAC
rnacentral:rRNA from 1 species